CUGGGGAUGAAGCAUUUGCUGCUGACCAUCUCUGUUGGAUGGUGGAAUGUGGUCCCUGAGGCUCUGGUUGAACCUGCUGCUGGUGCAAGGACUCUGAAAUGUGUUUGCCUGGUUAAGGUGACCAUGGAUGAAGGGAAAAGAAGGACCUGUUUGACUCUGCAGUGGCUAUACAGUGGCUAUGUUAUCCAUCAGGAAAUGUGAGUGUUCCUGCUGCUCUGCAGGACCCCAGGUCUGAGGUCACCCAGGCAUCUCUGCCGUCACCCCGUGCGUAGGCUGGCACCUCUCACUCGUGUAAAUAUCUGUGGCAAAAGAGCUUUAAGGGGAGGAACAAGAGCAAAAGCACAGACUCACCAUUCACCAGCGCUGGGCUACAGCACCGUGGGUGGCUGGAGGCCGAGCUGGAUGAGCCAGAACGAUCUCUGGCAUUCCCUUCUCAUGACUAUGUAUCUGCCUAAUGGCAUUGGCAUUCAGCCCCAGGUCCUCUCCACCCAGCUCGGGGCAGGGCGUAGCCUGAAGGCCAGGAGCUCAGCUAUCACCACGAGGAACAAAGCCCAUGAUCCAGCCACACACUGAGCCUGGGAAGAAAGCGUUUGAGCGGGGGAAGAAAGUGUUUGAGCUGGUUGCUGCCUGAGAAAGAAGAGCAUAAACCCUGGCUUUCCUCCAACCUCCAGCACUUGGACUUGGAUCAUUCAUCCUCCAUCCCAGGGGAAAUUCCGUGCAGUGCAAUUUGGGGCAGGCUGUUGAGGGAAUUGGGGAGUAGAGCAUCGCUGGAGCAGCGGCGUGGACGAGGCUCCUCCCUCCACCAGGAUCCUGGGCUCUGUCCGGCACCCCUUGCUUUGUGUCUGGCUGCCUUUGCUGGUGUCCUGCGGACAGGAGCGACACAGAAGGAGUGAGCGGUGGGUCUGUGAGCAUGUCUGUGACACCUGCAGGGCAGGGGCCAAGAAGACCUGGUGUUGCUGUGGGGAGAGCUGUGGGAAUUGCAGGGUGCAAAUCUGUGAGUGACAAAGCCCUGCCUGCCCUGCUGCCUGCAUGGACACUUGGAUUUAUCGCAGCUGCACGGAUGUCACAGCAUCUCUGCAGGGGCUGGGUUAGAAUUUACAUUGGGAUUGAAGCUCCCCACUUUUGGGGAGACAGGACACUACUCCUCUAAACUCCAGAUGGUUUUGCAAUGAAAAUGUUGCAGACUUGGAGGCUGGGCUGAUGUGGAGAAGGCUCCAGAGAUUUCUACACUGAAAACUCCUGGGCAGAAGGCUGUGGAUGAAAUACUGCCACACCUGGGACUUCUUCAGACAUCAGCCCGUGCUACAGGCUCCUACCAAGGGUGUCUGACACUUUGCCUUUCAGGGCAGCCUCCUAAUUGCCUGUGUAAGCCGAAAGUCGGAUGCCCAAUCCACAUCCCUGCAAAGGUGAUAAUCAGGGAGCUCCUCUGGCUUUGGCAGGCAACAGCUGGAGUCUGGGAAAGGGGAACCGAGGGCAAACAGGGGUGGGGAGCUGAUAGGGGUGGCAGGGAGUCUGACAGAGGUCCUGCGGGACUUUGAUGUUUUUAGAGUACUUGGGUUCCUCUGUCCAUCCAUGGGGCAGGUGCAGGAGAGCAGCGUGAACAACAUCAGCACAUUCCAGAAUAAAACAGAAUAAAGAGCUCAUCAUGACUACCGCCUCUGGCCUAUGCUCUGGACAUGCUCAGGCCCUCCACAGCUGAUGGGGUGCCUUGGUUUCCUGUGGUAAAACCAGGAGGUGCAGAAUGGCCAAGAAAGAGUUUUUAACCAUGGCAGGAGAUAAUAGGUUAUCUGGAGAUGUUGGGCACUGGAAAGUCAUGUAAGCAAUCCACAGCUCUCAGUAUUCUAUUUUUGAUAACUAUUGAAUCAGGGUGGGUUUUCGUUUGUUUGGGUCUUUUUCCAAGCUAUUUAUUAAUUUUGUUUUAAAGCUUGUCCUAAAGUUUAUUUAUGGGUCUCCUGUUUACAUAUUUCCUUCUGAUUUUAGUUAUGAAAAAAUCUGCCUCUUUGGAAGCCUGGGAUGUCUGUAUUCCCUUUGAAGGUCUGUUUUCUGUUUGCUGAAAAUGAAUGCAAUCAGUUCAUGAUCAUUACUUCCCAGGUGACUGCCAACUUCCAGCCCAGUGGUCAGGAGCCCUGUCACCCUUGGGAGGUGCCAGGUAGUUGCUGCAUGCUGGGCACAGCAUCACACUGGCCAUAAGGUGCCAUCUAUAACCACCAGACCUCAGAGAAUUGUUUAGGUUGGAAAAACCUCCAGGAUCAUCGAGUCCAGCCAUUAACCCAGCACUGCCAAGCCCACCACUAAACCAUGGCCCACAGGUACCUCCAGGGAUGGUGACUCACUCACCUCCCUGGGCAGCCUGUUUGUGUUUUCGCUGAGGUGUGUAAUGUCCCCAGCAGAUGUUUCACAAGCUGGCUGGCUCCUUAUAAACACUCCUCUUCUCUCCAUAGAGCCCAGACAGGUCUUUCAAGAGCUCCUUGCUCCUCUCUGCUCUGCAAGUUUUGUGCAAAUUCCUGAUUCCUUGUGCCAGGUUAGAGGCACCCAGUGAAGGCAGCAGGGAGAAGCAGGCCAGGCAGCUCCUGCAUUCAGCUGCUGCCUCUAAACCCGGACUAACUACCCUGGCUUAGCCCAGCCUCUAGCAGAGCUGGAAAGCAGCGGUGCCUGUCCAGCCCCUCCUCUACGGCUGGGUGAGCUCAGAGCUGUCACCUCCCUCCCUUCAGGUGCCAUUAGGCAUGUUGAUCUGCAAAGCCACCCCAAGCGCUCCCUAUAACCAAAGCAAGCCAGCUGGGGUGCAGGCAUUACCAUUGCCACACAGAUGUCUUGGGGAAAGCUUUAGGAUUUAAAACCAGCACCUUCCCGAGAAUAGGCAUCACUACAAACCAGCCUUUCAAAUGCCAACAUUGUCCGGAAAGCAAAAUAUUGGGUAAGACUGAGUUGUGGGGGGGAUCAGAGGGAUUGAUUGCGACUGUUUCAGGAGCAGGCAGAACGGUGUAAAGGUGAGCCCGUGUCCCUGCUCCUCGGCAGCUCCCGCGGGACUCGCUCAGGUGCCCUGUGCGGAGGGACGAGGCUCCGGCAGCGCUGCUGGAAGCGGACCCGUCCUCCGCGUCAGUCCAGUGCCACCUACAGCAGCCAGAGCAGAAACUGCAGCAGCCGGCAAACCGAUGGAAGCAAUUCCAGCAGGCUCCAGCCAAAGGCGUGCUCACAUCACUGAGUGGCCUUUGAGGAACUUUUUCCUUAGCACCGGGCAGAUGUACUCAUCUUUAUCUCCAGGGAAGAGAUGGAUCCCUAUGAAGUGAGGAAAAGCCCUCCCUCAGAUUUUCCUGCUGGAGCGAGGCUAGAUGAAGCCGUACCGAUGCGCAGGGACUCCUCCUGGCGCUCGGCCAUCUCGCGGUACUGCCGCUCGUACUCGGGGUCGGUGAAGGUGUGCCGCGGCUCCGCCAGCUUCC